AAGUCGUAACAAGGUUUCCGUAGGUGAACCUGCGGAAGGAUCAUUAACACUUUCCGGGCUAUGAUUUAUCAGAGAUUGCGAACUACGCGGGUUACAAGAGCAGGAUGAAGGUUCACGGGGGAGCGGUUUUAACAUUUGGAUACGUUGUAGUGAUUCAGAGACCUCUGGCUACGUGCGAACACUGGAACAGUUACAAUCGAGCGGUAGUUCUAUAGGCAAUGUUUCCCCAAGCAGUCAGUGUCGGAAAGUGUCAUUGAUUGUGCAAGGAUAGCGCUUCUACGAUUCCUGUAGACCGUACACUCGGGCAGGAGCUUUGCCAAAGGGUCCCCAUGCCCCCUAAUAACCCCACAGUUUAAUGUGAAGCUCAAUGUAAUACAUUGGGUAAAAAAACCGAACAACUGUUAACAAUGGAUAUCUUGGUUCUC
rnacentral:misc_RNA from 1 species